AUCCAGCUGACGAGUCCCAAAUAGUACGAAACGUGCGUCCUGGAU
rfam:Schistosoma mansoni strain Puerto Rico chromosome 6, complete genome